UACGAAGGGGGCUAGCGUUGUUCGGAAUCACUGGGCGUAAAGGGCGCGUAGGCGGCGCGACAAGUCAGGCGUGAAAGCCCCGGGCUCAACCCGGGAAUUGCGCUUGAUACUGUCGUGCUUGAGGCCGGGAGAGGAUGGCGGAAUUCCCAGUGUAGAGGUGAAAUCCGUAGAUAUCGGGAGGAAUACCAGCGGCGAAGGCGGCCUUCUGGACGGUGACUGACGCUGAGACGCGAAAGCGUGGGGAGCAAACAGG
rnacentral:rRNA from 1 species